AUAGUUUAUACCGCUAAUAAAUAACAUUUAUUAUAUUAACGCUAGGUACUCAGUAGGGGUAGGCAUAGUUAUACACGUGUACCGUGCAUGCAUCUACGCAUCAUAAUUUAUUUGUACGUAGGUAGAUAUAUAUUCGCGUUAAUAAGUACUUAUUUAAUCCGCGUAACGUGUGGGUAUAUUCUGCUUUCCAUUGCAUCGCACCGCGUACUUCGUUAUAUUUCUUUGCUCACUUCGGUACCUAUUUCAUUUUAAAUCAUGUCUAACGACAAGUUAACACUUUUAAACGCAAAGAAGGAAUGCAUGUAUAUGCGCAUGCAAUCUUUAGCUGACAAAUCUAAUGAUUUGUCGAUCGAAUUAGUUAGGGAAGAAUUUCUAUGUGAGUUGGAGUUAAUUGAUAAAUUGAGGUCUGACUUCGAAAGUGUUUUAGAUGAAAUAAAUAUUAUACAAUUAAAAUUAAAACCUACGCACGUUGUUAAUUAUCAGUCACUAAUUGCCUUCGAUGACUUGUACAGUCGAGUAAAACGCGCCGAGAAGAAAUUAUGUACGACAACUCAACCUGAUGUUAAGUACAGCAAUAAAAUAAAAUCUAAAUUAGCUCGUAUUGAAUUGCCCGAAUUUACCGGUGAUGUUAAAGCAUGGCCGUUGUUUUAUUCCACAUUUAAAAGCAUGGUUCACAACAAUCCCACGCUAGACGAUUCAGAUAAAUUGCAUUAUUUAACAUGUAAACUUAAGGGCAAGGCGCAGGCCGUAUUUAUUGGUAUAAGUCCAUGCGCUGAGAAUUACACACUUAUUUUAAACGCAUUAAUUAGUAAAUACGAAGAUAAACGGCUCCUCGCUAGUUCGUAUUUAGAUCAGAUAUUUGAACUCAAACCAUUUCAUUCCGCAACUGUCAAUAACCUUGAACAGUUUCUCGAUAAAUUCGCAACUUCAGUUUCCGCAUUAAAGAAUUUAAAAUUCGAUAGUCUUUCAGAUCUAAUAUUUUUAUAUAUGGCUUUAAAGAAAUUAGAUAAAGAAACCGCACACGCUUUCGAGUUAGACAACAGGGGCUCCGCUAUUCCACGUUUUGAUUCCUUGGUGUCAUUUGUUCGCGAUCAAACCAAAAUAUUGCAAAAUACUGUCAAAUCAGAAAAUGUAAAGAAGAGUUUGGACCGUCGGACAGAUGCGCCAUCGAAGUCGCUCAAGUCAACGCAUACCUACCUUAAUACCGCGUCAGAAAUUCCGCAGUCUAAAUGUCCUUUAUGCAAUGUAUCGCACGAACAUUUAUAUAAAUGUCCGGGUUUUCACAAACUUACACCUAACGAACGCUUUAAAUUUGUAAAAUCAAACGCUUAUUGUGUUAACUGUUUAAGUAUGAGGCAUCGCUUAUUUAAUUGCAAUUCUAAAAUGCAAUGUCGUAAAUGUCAAUUGAAACAUCACACUAUGUUGCAUUUUGAUAAUAAUUCCGCAUCGAGAGUGUGUGCAGUCGAUUCGCCGCUUACGCCUAUCGCGCCGCACACUAGUGUGACCGCGCGCGAAUACAAUAGCGAACGGCUCGGGGAGUCCGCUGCCGCGCCGGCCGCGCGGGCGCUCCCGCCCGCUACUACUCGCACCGACGAUGUUGCGCUGUGCGCUCUCUCGCACAAUAAUAUUCCGCCAGUGCCUAGCACUGUUUUACUCGCUACUGCGCGCGUUGUUAUUGUUGACGCUCAUGGAGUUGAACAUUAUGUUCGUGCUUUAUUAGAUAGCGCUUCUCAAAGUAAUUUUAUUACUAGUGUGUGUUGCGACCGUUUAGGAUUAAAUUGUCGUAAAGAACAACGGUGCGCUGUUAAAGGUAUAGGAGGUGCCGCUAAAUUUACCCAGGGUUCCGUGAAUAUUAAAUUCUUUUCUCGUUUUAAUAAAAAUAUUAAUUUUGAUAUGGAGUCAUUGGUAGUGGAUAAGGUGACCGAAUUAUUGCCGACCGUCUCGGUUGAUACUUCGCUGCUGACUUAUUUAAACGACUUACCUCUGGCUGACGAUACUUACGCCGUCCCUGGCGAGAUUGACUUAUUAGUUGGCGCUUCUAUUUUCCCUCACCUUUUGUUGUCGCACAAGGUCCAAGGACAACCCGCUCGCGUCGCUCCACAUGCAUUAGAGACCGUAUUAGGAUACGUAAUCUUAGGUUCCGCGCCCGCAUUUAAUCAUACUUGCGCGUCAGUUUCGUACUGCUGUGCAGUUGAGCCGCUAGAAUCGGUGAUUCGAAAGUUCUGGGAGUUGGAAGAAGUGGUAGUUCCACCCAUUCUAAGUCCUGAUGAUAAGGAGUGUGAAGAAAUUUAUACUCGCACUACCACCCGCGAAGAUGAUGGUCGUUAUACCGUCGCGCUUCCCUUUAAAGGGGAUGUAUUUAGUCUCGGCAAUUCUCGACGAAUAGCUGAGAAAUGUUUUUUCUGUUUAGAACGGAGAAUGCAGGCUUCGCCUAAAUUAAAGCAAGCCUAUGAUGAUGUCAUACACGAAUAUUUACAAAAGGGUUAUAUCGCAAUCGCACCUCCGGACAUAGGUGAUAUUAAUACCGCUCCGUCAUAUAUUAUACCGCACCAUGGGGUUAUUAGGGAGGAUAAGCUUACCUCUAAACUACGAGUCGUGCUUAAUGGUAGCGCAAAAACUAGCACAUCGGUUUCCCUUAACGAUAUUCUUCAUAGUGGACCCAAUCUACAGAGCAACUUAUUUAAUAUUAUUUUUAACUUUCGUUUAUUUGCCGUAGCCCUUUCAGCGGAUAUUAGACAAAUGUUUCUUUGUAUAAAUAUACGCGAGUGCGACCGUAGAUUUCAACGCAUUUUAUAUCGUUUUACGCCUGAGGAACCCCUGCAGGUUUAUCAGUUUAACCGCGUCUGUUUCGGUCUUAAGUCUAGUCCGUAUCACGCGCUUCGGACGAUAAGGCAACUUGCGUCAGAUGAAGGCGAUUCAUUUCCUAAAGCUCGGGAAAUUAUUGAAACCGGGUUAUAUAUGGAUGACUUUGUUUACUGCGUCGACAGUGAAGAUGAAGCCAUCUCCACCGCCGCUCAGGUUAUUUCUCUUAUGAAGGCCGGGCAGUUCGAUCUCGUAAAGUGGACGAGCAAUUCGCAAACUGUAUUAGAUUCUAUUCCGCCCUCACAUCGUCUUUCAUCCGUAAAGGAGUUUGAUGAUUGUGAUUCGCAUAAAAUUCUCGGUCUGUGUUGGUCACCUAGGUCAGAUUCAUUUAGUUUAAAAAUUUCUGCACCAGACGAGACAUGUACGAAGCGUACCAUACUUUCCUGUGUUGCGCGAUUAUGGGAUUUAAUGGGGUUUGUAGCUCCGGUAAUAUUAUAUGCCAAGCUCCUCAUUAAGGAACUUUGGUUAAUUAAUUGUGAUUGGGACGAGGUCCCACCUGAGAACAUUAUUAAGUUGUGGCAGCGCUUCAGGGAGGAACUUCCCAUUCUUGAAUCACUUAAGAUACCACGCCAUGUGGAUAUUAGGCCGACUAGUGUAGUGAACGUCAUUGGCUUCGCUGACGCAAGUGAGAAAGCUUACGGCGGCGUUGUAUAUUUUCACGUCGAAAAUGAUGGCGUUAACACAGUUCAUCUAAUCUGCGCAAAGUCUAAAGUUGCGCCUCGCAAAGUUGUAUCACUCGCUCGGCUUGAAUUGUGUGCCACAUUAGUUCUCGCGAAAUUAAUAAGUAGCAUCAUUGACGCUUGUAAUAAACGCCACAAUAUUAAUAAAGUAUACGCGUUCUCAGAUUCCACAGUCGCUUUAUGUUGGAUUCACUCCUCGCCGCACAGGUGGGAUACGUUCGUGGCUAAUAGAGUUUCUAAAAUUCAAUCUUUGUUACCUCCGCAAAACUUUUAUCAUGUGCCCGGUAUAGACAACCCAGUGGAUUGUCUAUCUAGGGGACUUUCUCCCGCACAAAUUCUUAAUCAUCCGCUUUGGUUUCAUGGUCCGUCCUGGACAUCGUGUAGUCCGUCGGAAUGGCCCAUUUCCGCUUUCGAACCGUCUACGGUUUCAGAACCGCCAGAAGAGAAGAAACACGCUUUAGUCGCUUCGAUUCCGCGUCAAGAAUCGGUAAUUAUUGACUUGGCCAAUAAGUUUUCCUCUUGGUCCAAGUUUUUACGCUGCGUUGUAUACGUUUGUCGCUUUUCGAAAUUAUUACCCUUGCGUGAUAAUAUUUCCGCUUCAGAUUUAAAUUUCGCAGAAAAUAUAGUUGUUCGGGAAUUACAAAAAAUGUUUUUCCGAGAUGAGUUAGUUAAACUACAAGCCGGAAGGAUUUGUAGUCGUACUUUUCAACGACUUAAGCCAUUUUUACACAAUGGUCUUAUCCGCGUAGGUGGUCGUUUAAGCCACUCUGAUUUAAAAUUUGAUCAAAUGCAUCCCAUUGUUUUACCGCGCAAGCAUCAUAUUUUAAAUUUAUUGGUUGAUUAUCACCAUAAAGUUAAUUGUCACGCUGGUCCCGACCUACUUAUGUCUCUCCUGCGUCAGAAGUAUUGGAUACUCUCUGCACGCAGCUUAAUUAGAAAUAGGGUACAUAAUUGUCUUCCUUGUUUUCGUCUUCGUCCGAAACAAAUAUUUCCGGAGAUGGCAGAACAUAGGCCUUGUCGAGUAUUAGAAUCCGCAAAACCGUUUGUACACACGGGUACUGAUUACGCAGGUCCAUUCAAGGUCACCCUCACUCGCGGUCGUGGUGUUCGUGCCACCAAGGCAUACGUUUGUCUUUUUGUUUGUUUAACAACUCGCGCUGUACACAUUGAACUCGCCGGCGAUUUAAGUACCGCUAGUUUUCUAGCCGCGUUUAAACGUUUUCUUUCGCGUCGCGGUCCCAUCAGUAGAAUGUAUUCGGACAAUGGGACGAAUUUUAUCGGUGCCAAGCGUACGAUGACGGAACAUCAGAAAUUUCUGAGGUCUAAAUAUUUUAAGACCGAAUUUGGUCACAUAUUGAGUGAAAAUCGGAUCGAUUGGUCUCUGAAUGUACCGACUGCGAGUCAUUUUGGAGGCAAUUGGGAGGCUAACAUCAAGAGCCUCAAAUCACAUUUAUUCCGCGUAAUAGGCGAGCAAAUUCUUACUUUUGAAGAGUUGAGUACCGUACUCACUCAGGUAGAAGCAGUAAUGAAUACCAGGCCUUUGUACCGCACUUUAUCUAGUGACCCGUCAGAACCACUAGCUUUAACUCCAGCCCAUUUCUUAAAUUUCACCCCGCUUAAAUUUUUACCGACCAAGGAAAUUACUGAUAAUCGACUUAAUAUGCUUUCGCGUCAUGAUUUACUUGACAAAUUGUUACAAUCCUUCUGGAAGCGAUGGAGAGCAGAAUAUCUGCAUACAUUGCAAUCUCGCGUUAAAUGGAAUACGCCUUCCAACCCUAUUCAAACAGGGACCGUAGUUAUUUUAAAAACAGAUAACGCACCGCCUCUUCACUGGCCUCUUGGGCUCGUUGAAGAAGUAUUUCCGGCGACUGAUGGCGUGACUCGCGUCGUCCGCGUUAAAACCGCGACCGGGUCGUAUUUACGUCCAGUUGUUCGUUUAUGUCCUUUGCCCAACCAAUAAUAUAUAAAAUUCGCAUUUAAAUAAUUUAACUUUAAUUUAGUUUUUGUUUUGAAGCCGUCCCUUCAAGCCCGGGGGGAAUGGUUGCGCCAUAUUUCUAAUUCAUUCUUUAUAAAUUUUAACUUCGCAUUUCCGGUCGCGUCAAUCCCAAUGAUGUCUUUUUUAUUAAUAAUUAGGUGAUACGACACGUACAUUUCCUUACCGCAUCCCUUUCCCGCACAUACCUUUCCAGCGAGCGAGAGCGAGAGCGCUUCGCUGGGAAUUGGUUCCGCGAGUGCCCGCGCGCCGUACGGGGUGCGGGUGCAAAAAACACUUUUUGUUCGCGCCCCGCAAUGACAUGGACACGAUGACGUCGCUCGCAUAAUUAAUUGAAAAUUAUCGGUCUGUGAUGUUAUUUCCUUAAUUAACUUCGUGUGACUGUGCAUAUCAUAGAUAGUGAAGUUUAGUAUAAGUGGUCGCCGCAAGCAGAAACACGAAGCCGCCAGCAUCAACCAGCCGAACCGCCGCCGCAGACGCCGUGGUAGUUCUAUGGUGCCUACUCCUGGCCGUGGCUGCUGAGGAGGCGCCUCCAGGACUCGUCUCCAAGGACAGCGAACAAGACCUCGUCGCAGAAGCGUCGCAUACAGGAACCCAGACACAGAAGCGGGAAGCGGGUGGACUGUCAAAUUCGUACGGGGAGCCGCUCCCGCCGGACGCGUAUGGCCCUCCACGGGAGAUAUCUAAUAUAA
rnacentral:misc_RNA from 1 species